rnacentral:rRNA from 1 species
UACGUAGGGGGCAAGCGUUGUCCGGAUUUAUUGGGCGUAAAGAGCGUGUAGGCGGUUUGGUAGGUCCGCUGUGAAAACUCGAGGCUCAACCUCGAGACGCCGGUGGAAACCAUCAGACUAAAGUCCGGAAGAGGAGAGUGGAAUUCCUGGUGUAGCGGUGAAAUGCGCAGAUAUCAGGAAGAACACCCGUGGCUAAGGCGGCUCUCUAGUACGGUACUGACGCUGAGACGCGAAAGCGUGGGGAGCGAACAGG